GUGUGAAAGCACCAGAAGAACCAGUGAAACCAGAAUCAUCAGUGACUGAAAAACCCAAGGGGCCAACGGUCCUAGAACGAUCAGUGACUUUAAUUAAUCCUGCGGAGCCAGUAACAGUUGAAACACCACUUACCAAAGAAUCUGUGGAGCCAGCGAAAGAAGAGCAAUUAGGGAGUGAACCUGCAGUGUCACUGAAACAAGGACUCUCAACAGCUGAAAAAGCUAGGGAGCCAGAGAAAGGAGAGCAAAAAGUGACAGAAAAGCCAGUGGAGCCAUUGAAACAAGAACCUUUAGCAACUGAAAAAUCUGCGGAGGUUUCAGAAACCAAGUUACCAGAAGCUAAAAAAUCUGAAAUCCCAGUUGAAC
rnacentral:misc_RNA from 1 species